CACAGAAUCCGAAGCAGGCCCCAGGCUCUGAGCUGUCAGCAGAGAGCCCAAUGUGGGGCUCAAACUCACAAACCGUGAGAUCACAACCUGAGCUAAAGUUGGCCGCUUAACUGACCCAGCCACCUGGGCGCCCCUUUAAUUUUUAAAAUAAAAUUUUACUUUAGAUAGACAGUGCACAAGUGGGGGAGAGGGAGAGAGAGAAUGUCAAGCAGGCUCCAUGCUAUCCGUGCAGAGCCCGACAUGGGGCUCGAUCCCAUGAACUGUGAGAUCAUGACCAGAGCUGAAAUCAAGAAGUUGGUGCUCAACCGACUGAGUGACCCAGAUGCCCCCUUUGCUUUUUGUAAAGCUUUAGCUAUUAACCCAGUAAGUAAGUUCUUAAAAAAAAAUAACGGGUCUUAGCUCAAAUGGCUCCACUGUUGAAAUGUGAGUGUAACAAAUUGUGCUGGACGUGAUUUGAGGCAUUAAAACUUCGCAGGUGAAGAAGCCCCUAGUCUUCCGUUCAGUUUUGCUGUGAACCUGAAACCACUUUAAGAAAUAAGGCCUGCUAAAACAACGACAAUAACAUUCUGCAGUUGGAUGUUUGGAGCAUUCGGUCAGCCAAUGAUUGGCUGCUGAUUUGGGAAAGACCGAGAGGCACCCGUGACUCUACAUAACAGACCUGAGAAUCGAAGGCACUUGUGGUGGCUGUGGUACAAGCAGUGGCCUGAGCCACGGUCCCAUCUCCCCGUGGGCUUAGGAAUACGCUGCAUUCCUGAUAUUCCUGUAGGGAAUUAGAUGAUUGGAUGUUUUAGGGAACGAAUGGGAAGCCUAGAGUCCCCUGUUACUGGUAUGGGAUGGUCUCUGAUGGCGUCAGUUGCCCAGAUGGUUUCUUUUGGAGGAACGGCAUUUAUGUCACAAGGCUCUUUUGGCACAGUCCUUGUCCUGUUCAUUUGCCUAAUCAGCCAUAUUUUGGCAUUCAGUAAAAGCUGAGGUUGCUGGUGGGUGGAGGAAUGAAAGCUAAGCAGGUCGCCCUGCAUUUCGAGUAUUUUGGUGUGUGGCACCGUUUGGUGUUUGCAAAUGCACCAAACAAUUCCUGUUACUUUGGCAGUAGGUGUGACAGACGGGAUGCCUGCUCAGGCCAGGGAUGGGGGCGGGGGCCAGCCCCGGGCUUUUCCUCCUGAGGACAACUGGGAAUUGCCGGAAUGGGCCCUUCUAAGCAGGGAGAACAGAACACAUGAGUGGGAAGAAUGGACAGGAGCCAAGCCAGGAGGCAGGUGACCGGAGGGGGGCUUUCGCUGCCUUCGUGGACGAGCGAGGGCCUUAUCCAAGAGUGGUAUCGGAGCAGAAAAGGAGGGGGAAGGUCAGGUGGGGGAGACGCUUGGAGGACACAGGCCAGAUGCGGUGCUAGAGUGUUGAUGUGUUAGCUUUCUCGGGCUCUUGUAACAAAUUAACACAAAGUUGGUGGUUUAAACAACAGAAAUUUUUCCUCUCACGGUUCCAAAGGCUAGAAAUCCCAAAUCAGGGUGACAUCAGCUUUGUUCUCCCCCCGAAGACCCUAGGAGGGGUCCUUCCUGCCUCUUCCAGCGUCUGGUGGCCCCAGACAUUGUUGGCUUGUGUCUGUACCACUCUGCCCUCUGCCUCCGUUUUCACAUGGCCUCCCUGUGUGUCUGUGUCUCAUCCCCAGGACGACCUCAUCUCAAGAUCCUUAACUUGAGUAUGUCUGCAAAGACUCUUUCCAAAUAAGGUCACAUUCACAGUGAACAGGCAGAUGUGACGAUAUGAACGAAGAGGGAGGCACUUCUGCUAAUGCUGUUAUUUGGACAAAAGUUAACGCCACUCACCGACUCAGGGAAAGUUUGAGGACGUGCUGUCUUGCACGUGCUUUGGGGACAUAUUGUUUUUCGCAUAAGCCAGGCAGACUCCCUCCAGCCAGAAACAAAACAAAACAAAACAAAGCAACAAAUGACUUACAUACCCUUUAAAAUUGGCUGUGCUUUCCACUGUGACCCUUUUGAUUCAAACUGAAUGUAUCUUUUAAGUUUGUGAGAUUCUUCUUUUCGUUGGUGUUAGGUUUCUGGGCCUUGGUUUGUUUCCCAAGAGCACUGGAGUUUUCUUGCUGUCUUUCUUUCCUGGGCACAGAGAUGACUUUGAUAUUCUCUUAGGGGCCCAGGUCAGAAGCCAAUCACCUCUUACCUCUCGCCUCACGUCCACAUGUUUGUUUUUCUGCCCCACAGCUUCUGGCUUUGCUUCCUUUACCCUCCACCAAGCUGCCCCCUUAUUCGGUGACACUGCCUCCUUCUGACAGGAGGCUUCUAAUUGCAUUCCCGCCUCUGACCCUGCUUUUCCCCGUGCCCUCCAUAGCACUGUCAAUACCAUAUUUUAUAGUAACAGUGGUUCAGUGAUCUGUAAUUUACAUACAGUAAAGUGCACAAGUUCGGAAUGAACAGCUGCGUGAUUUUUGACAAACUCACGCACCUGUGCUUCGUCCCCCAGCUUGAAAUAGAAUUUCCUCUAUUUUCUACUCAACCCCCGCCCAUCAGAGGCCACCACUGCUCAGAUUUCUGUCCCCACGGGUUAGUUCAGCCAGCACUGGGACUUGGGUGGAAUCACACAGUGCGUGCCCUGGUGCCUGGCUUCUUUCCUGCGACAUCAUGGUUUUGAGAUCUGUCCGUGCUAUGUAUGUGUCUCAAAGUUGCUUUUAUUUCUUUUUCUCAUUUUUAACAGCUUUAUGGAGGUAAAAUUCAAUAUAUGCGUGUAUACACACACACACACACACACACACACACACACCAUAUUCUUUGUCCAUUUAAAGUAUAGAUGUAAAUGGUUUUGGGUGCACCCAGUUAUGACUUUAUUUAGUCGUAUAUAUACAUAUAUAUCUAUAUAUAUAUUUACUUAUUUAUAGUGUGGUGUAUAUAUAUAUAUAUGUUUAUAUUUAUAGUGUGGUAUAUAUAUACAUAUAUAUAUAACAUAACAUUUCCCCUUUUAGCCAUUGUAACGAACACACGGUUCAGUAGCAUGACUUACUCUCACACUGUUGUGCAAGUGUCACUGCCAUCUAUUUUUAUCACCCCGAACAGGCACCCUGUAGCCACGAAGCAAUAACUCCCCAUUCCUUCCCCUCGUCCCCCGUCCCCCCCCCCCCCCCUCCCGCCUUGGUUCUGGGAGCCUGUAACCUACUUUCUGUUUCUGAGUUUGCCUCUUCUAGAUGGCACAUAGAUGGAAUCAUAGAGUGUCUUUUGCGCCUGGCUCCUUGCACACAGCAUAAUGCCUCCACGGUUCAUCUGUGUUGCGGCACGUGCUAGAGUUUCAUUCCUUAACUUAAAGAGAUAGUACCCCAUUGUACGUGGCUGCAUUUCUCUCAUCCACUCAUCUGUUGACGGACACAUCUGUUGACGCCUCUUGUCGCUCUCGUGAAUCAUGGCACCAGGAACAGGGCUGUACAAAGAUCUGUUGAGUCCCUACGUUAAAUUCCUUCAGGUACAUCCCUAGGAGGAGAAUUGUUGGGUCAUGUGGUCACCCCGUGUUUAGCUUUCCGAGGAGCCACCAAACUGUUCCACAGUGUGGCACUAUUUUACCUUCUGACCAGUGGUGCCCACGGGGUCCAGUUUCCCCACAUCCUCGCCAAUACUUGAUGUUUUCUGUUUUUCUUGAUUAUAGGCAUCCUAGCAGAUGUGGGAUAUCUCACUGUGGUUUUGGCCGUUUGUAUAUCUUUGGCUCAGUUUUUUUUUUUUUUUUGUGCCAUCAGUCCUUCAUGAGAUAUAAUUUACACACAGAGAAAUGCAUAACUCUUAAAGGUACAGUGAGUGAAUUCUGACAAAUAUAUGCAUAUAAAUAUUACCCCAAUUGAGAUGUAGGAUGUUUCCAUUACCCUGAAAAGUUCUCUCCUACUCCUUCCAAUAAUCCCCUUUACUGUUUUUUUAUCACCAUCGAUUAAUUUUGCCUGUCCUUGGGUUUCAUUAAAUGGAAUCAAACAGCAUGCAUUUUGUUACGUCUGACGUUAUUUCAUUGGACGCAGUGUGUUUGAGACCUAUUGCUGGUGUUGCACGUAUCAGAAUUUUGUUCUUUUUUGCUGAGUGGUAUUCCUAAACUUGAGUAUAGCAGUUUCCUUAUCCAGUCUUUUGAGGAUGAAUAUUUGGGUUGUUUGCAAUUUUUGGCUGUUAUGAAUAAAACUGCUCCAAACAUUCUUAUGCA